GCUUUUUGUCUUCCCCCCAACGAGCGCUUUCCUGUUCCUUAUUUGCCAUCGGGUUAAGCCGGGAACUUUAAGGAUACUGCCAGUGACAAACUGGAGGAAGGCGGGGACGACGUCAAGUCAUCAUGGCCCUUACGACCAGGGCUACACACGUGCUACAAUGGUCGGUACAAAGGGUUGCUACCUAGCGAUAGGAUGCUAAUCUCAAAAAGCCGAUCGUAGUCCGGAUUGGAGUCUGCAACUCGACUCCAUGAAGUCGGAAUCGCUAGUAAUCGCGGAUCAGAAUGCCGCGGUGAAUACGUUCCCGGGCCUUGUACACACCGCCCGUCACACCAUGGGAAUUUGUUGCACCAGAAGUAGGUAGUCUAACCUUAGGGGGGACGCUUACCCCGGGGCCGAUGGGG
rnacentral:rRNA from 1 species